rnacentral:misc_RNA from 1 species
GUGAAUCAUCGAAUUUUUGAACGCAAAUUGCGCUUCCUAGCAUCCCGGGAAGUAUGCCUGUUUGAGGGUCAGUAUUAACAAAAAAAUCGGUUUGGUUGCAAAUCGUGACGUUUCCGGAGUCUGGGCUAUCUUAACUUUUUUGGCUACGGGGCUUAAACUUGACCUUUUUUGCGCCUUUUUAGACGUUACUAAAUUUUUUUUUUAUUCGUCUAUUCUUAAU